UAGCAGAGGAUGCAAGCGUUAUCCGGAAUGAUUGGCGUAAAGCGUCUGUAGGUGGCUUUUUAAGUCCGCCGUCAAAUCCCAGGGCUCAACUCUGGACAGGCGGUGGAAACUACCAAGCUGGAGUACGGUAGGGGCAGAGGGAAUUUCCGGUGGAGCGGUGAAAUGCGUAGAGAUCGGAAGGAACAUCAGUGGCGAAGGCGAACUUCCUGGACCAAUACUGACGCUCAGGUGCGAAAGCGU
rnacentral:rRNA from 1 species